GACGGAGGAUGCAAGUGUUAUCCGGAAUCACUGGGCGUAAAGCGUCUGUAGGUGGUCAAAUAAGUCAACUGUUAAAUCUUGAGGCUCAACCUCAAAAUCGCAGUCGAAACUAUUCGACUAGAGUAUAGUAGGGGUAAAGGGAAUUUCCAGUGGAGCGGUGAAAUGCGUAGAGAUUGGAAAGAACACCGAUGGCGAAGGCACUUUGCUGGGCUAUUACUAACACUGAGAGACGAAAGCUAGGGUAGCAAAUGGG
rnacentral:rRNA from 1 species